AAGCUGCAAGAACUUGGCUCUCUGCACAGGUUUUUGUGGCAAUAAAAGCUGCAAGAACAACUUGGCUCUCUGCAUAGUCUUGGACAUUACGGCACCGAAGAGGUCCCGAGGUGGGCGUCAGACAUCGAACGUACCUCAAAUCACCCGAGGGAAGAGGAGACGCGAAGGCAUCCCGGAAACUGCAUUUUUGCAGGUAAACCCGGGCUGGACGCUCCCGCGGGGAGGUUAGCUAUUGCCCGAGCGCAGAAGCAGAGAAGCUAAGGCGGCAGAACAACGAGCUCACAGUGGCCCCGCGCGGGCCAGCUCUCGGUUUCCAUGGCUAACGUCAACUCCGGCCUCCACCCGAAGCUGAACAGCGCGCGUGCGCGCUCGGGGACUGGGCCCGGCGCCCGGCUGGCCCCGCUGUUCCGGCUGUGCUCGCUCUGGAGACGGGCCCUGCAGUACAGCAGGCUGGGCCUCGCGGAAGCAGAGAACCAGCGCCCUCCGUUCGCGCCAGGCCUAGUCCAACAUUUUCCUGGCCAGGGGCUAUGGGAGUCGCUCCUGCUCUGGUCUAGCACCGGGCCUAGGAAAAGCGGCAGCGGCGAAGGCGAAGACGCAGCGCCAACCCUGAACUUUCCCCUGGGCCGAGUCGUUACGCAAGAGCGUCGUUGCCCUGGUGACGUGACGUCCUUCUUCAGGAUUGUGCGCCCGCAGGAGACAGACGUGCAACCGCCAUUUUGCGCAUCAGUUCACCGAAGGUCGUGUCAGGUUGUCUUAAUGCAGGUGGAGGGGUGUGACAGUGCUCCAACCGCUCUCGGUCCCGCGACUUCCAAUAAUCUCACCGACCGUCACCACUCAACACUCCGACGAUCUUAUGCAUUGCACAAAGUCAGAGUACUUGGUUUCAAGUGA
ensembl:lincRNA